CUCGCCGCCGGUAACAAUGCACUGAUGGCUGCUGCGGGGGAGCCGGGAAUGCGGCACGUUGCAAACUCAUCGUGCCGCCUUUCCCACCCCCGCCAAGACAAUACCCCCGCCCCCGGGGCACGCCGAGAAGCCCCCGCAGGGGCCCCCCGCCGCCGCGCAGGUUGGAAAGGCUGGCCGGAGAGCGGGGGGGGCAGUAGGGACUUACCUCUGGGGCUGCUCUCCGGGUAGCUGAUGCCUGAGCCUUAAGAUGAGGAUUGCAGGAAGGAGCAACUGGUGUGCAGGCUCUUCUCCCGGGAGAAACUGGGACAUGAGCAGGAGCCAGAAGCCUAUGGUUGCCCAGGCCACCACUGCAGCAGGAGAGGACAGCCCUGGCACCUGGGAUUUUGUCAUGAGGUGCCCGCACACACACACAGGACCCCCCUCCUCCUUGCUUGCUACACCUGUUCUCUCACUGUCCUGUCACUAGUCAAGAGCUGUCUCUUGCACCAACCAAAGUUGGUCCAAUAAAAUAUAGCACCUCA